CUUCCCCGGGCACCUGGGUCCUCGCGAAGCUCAGCUUUCUGGCGUUUCCAGGCGCGAUCAUGGCAAGGGUCUUUCCUGGUGGUGCUCAGCUGAGCCAGAAUUGAAUCAGAGUCAGCUGCUUUGCAAGAUUUCCUUUUUUAUGUGAGCCACACCCUGCUGGCUGGAAUCAGAGAUAUAGGGACUACUACAUUCAAGGUGAUACAUAGCAGAAGUACAAGCUUUGGUGCAGAGUACA